rnacentral:rRNA from 1 species
AGUGAACGCUGGCGGUAGGCCUAACACAUGCAAGUCGAGCGGCAGCACAGGAGAGCUUGCUCUCUGGGUGGCGAGUGGCGGACGGGUGAGGAAUACAUCGGAAUCUACUUUUUCGUGGGGGAUAACGUAGGGAAACUUACGCUAAUACCGCAUACGACCUACGGGUGAAAGCAGGGGACCUUCGGGCCUUGCGCGAUUGAAUGAGCCGAUGUCGGAUUAGCUAGUUGGCGGGGUAAAGGCCCACCAAGGCGACGAUCCGUAGCUGGUCUGAGAGGAUGAUCAGCCACACUGGAACUGAGACACGGUCCAGACUCCUACGGGAGGCAGCAGUGGGGAAUAUUGGACAAUGGGCGCAAGCCUGAUCCAGCCAUACCGCGUGGGUGAAGAAGGCCUUCGGGUUGUAAAGCCCUUUUGUUGGGAAAGAAAUCCAGCUGGCUAAUACCCGGUUGGGAUGACGGUACCCAAAGAAUAAGCACCGGCUAACUUCGUGCCAGCCGCCGCCGUAACAC